GCUCAGAUUGAACGCUGGCGGCAGGCCUAACACAUGCAAGUCGAACGGUAACAGGAAGCAGCUUGCUGCUUCGCUGACGAGUGGCGGACGGGUGAGUAAUGUCUGGGAAGCUGCCUGAUGGAGGGGGAUAACUACUGGAAACGGUAGCUAAUACCGCAUAAUGUCGCAAGACCAAAGAGGGGGACCUUCGGGCCUCUUGCCAUCGGAUGUGCCCAGAUGGGAUUAGCUUGUUGGUGGGGUAACGGCUCACCAAGGCGACGAUCCCUAGCUGGUCUGAGAGGAUGACCAGCCACACUGGAACUGAGACACGGUCCAGACUCCUACGGGAGGCAGCAGUGGGGAAUAUUGCACAAUGGGCGCAAGCCUGAUGCAGCCAUGCCGCGUGUAUGAAGAAGGCCUUCGGGUUGUAAAGUACUUUCAGCGGGGAGGAAGGGAGUAAAGUUAAUACCUUUGCUCAUUGACGUUACCCGCAGAAGAAGCACCGGCUAACUCCGUGCCAGCAGCCGCGGUAAUACGGAGGGUGCAAGCGUUAAUCGGAAUUACUGGGCGUAAAGCGCACGCAGGCGGUUUGUUAAGUCAGAUGUGAAAUCCCCGGGCUCAACCUGGGAACUGCAUCUGAUACUGGCAAGCUUGAGUCUCGUAGAGGGGGGUAGAAUUCCAGGUGUAGCGGUGAAAUGCGUAGAGAUCUGGAGGAAUACCGGUGGCGAAGGCGGCCCCCUGGACGAAGACUGACGCUCAGGUGCGAAAGCGUGGAGAGCAAACAGGAUUAGAUACCCUGGUAGUCCACGCCGUAAACGAUGUCGACUUGGAGGUUGUGCCCUUGAGGCGUGGCUUCCGGAGCUAACGCGUUAAGUCGACCGCCUGGGGAGUACGGCCGCAAGGUUAAAACUCAAAUGAAUUGACGGGGGCCCGCACAAGCGGUGGAGCAUGUGGUUUAAUUCGAUGCAACGCGAAGAACCUUACCUGGUCUUGACAUCCACGGAAGUUUUCAGAGAUGAGAAUGUGCCUUCGGGAACCGUGAGACAGGUGCUGCAUGGCUGUCGUCAGCUCGUGUUGUGAAAUGUUGGGUUAAGUCCCGCAACGAGCGCAACCCUUAUCCUUUGUUGCCAGCGGUCCGGCCGGGAACUCAAAGGAGACUGCCAGUGAUAAACUGGAGGAAGGUGGGGAUGACGUCAAGUCAUCAUGGCCCUUACGACCAGGGCUACACACGUGCUACAAUGGCGCAUACAAAGAGAAGCGACCUCGCGAGAGCAAGCGGACCUCAUAAAGUGCGUCGUAGUCCGGAUUGGAGUCUGCAACUCGACUCCAUGAAGUCGGAAUCGCUAGUAAUCGUGGAUCAGAAUGCCACGGUGAAUACGUUCCCGGGCCUUGUACACACCGCCCGUCACACCAUGGGAGUGGGUUGCAAAAGAAGUAGGUAGCUUAACCUUCGGGAGGGCGCUUACCACUUUGUGAUUCAUGACUGGGGUGAAGUCGGAACAAGGUAACCGUAGGGGAACCUGCGGUUG
rnacentral:rRNA from 1 species